UUUCUAACAUUUUUUAAUAGCAUCUUACUAAGAUUUUGCUCUAAAAAUGACUUCUAAUUCAUUUACACAAUUUAUAUAAAUUUAUAUUUUAUUUUAUUAUUUUUUAUUUAUAAAUAUUUAAAAUUUAUAUAAUAAUAUUACUUUUAAAAUAAGUGUUUUUUAUUAAAUUAUCAUAUUAAAGUUGCGUUUUGAGCUCAUUACUAAGAUUUUUCAACUUGGCCGAAUUUCAUUCGUCAAAUUUUUCUCUACAAGGUCUCAAAAUGAUGAAAGUUCGAAAAAUUAUAGUCUUUUUGUAACUAUUAGAUAAUAUUAAAAACUUCAAAAACUUAAAAAUUACCAAAAUUGGCAUAUAAAUAGCAAAUUUUUUUAGGAUCAAACGCCAAAUUAGCAAUUAAUUAUAAAAAUAAGGUUUAUUUGAAAAAGAAAAAUUUAAUUUGUCUACAUCGACAAAAUAUGUACGCUGCCCAUUAAAAUGACAAAAUGCUAGAAAUCCGAAUUCUAAUAAUUACGUAGGUAUACAUUUUAUGAUAAUAUGGCAAAUAUUCUAUUUAUUUUUUUAUUUUUGUUUGUACUUAACGUUCUUGUUGUUUUCGGGUUAUGUAUUUUUUUUGUAAUCGCUUUUUUGUCUAAAAAUUGGACGUUAAAAGCGAGUGUUUGUUGUAAGUGAGGUUCGUUUGUUUCUAUAAUAUGAGAUUAAAAUAGGACUUUCAAUUUUGUUGAUUAUAUCUGACUGUUCGGGUUCGUUAUAACCAAGUUCCACUGUAAUUCAUUCAUGAUAAAUUACACUGGUCUGCAAAAAUAACUAUUCCUUAUUACGUUAUUAUUAAAAAUAUUAUUAAAAAUUUAAUGCUUCUGAAUAACAAAAUCUAGGUAUUUUUUUAAUAGAUUUUUUAAAUAAAUCGUUGAUUUACUUAAUACUAUAAAUGUAAAUUUAAUGAUUGCGACAAAAAUUUACAAUUCAUUCCAAAACUCUAAAAACUAGUCACAUAUUAAUUUUUCUUUGUAAUUAUUGCCUUUUCAUAUUUUCCAGUAAAAUUAUAACUAACAAAAAUAUGCUAUCAUUGCUUCUGACGAUCUUCUGACUAUUUCCCUUUCAUAUCUAUGUGUAAUAUUUCUUGCUGAUAUCUUCUAUCGCAAGAUUUUCAGUAAAGAAGUCUUAAAGUGUCAAAUUUUUUGUUAUUUGAAAGGACGUCACAUAUUUUUGAAAAUAAAACUCGAAUGAUUUCCUGAAAGCUCUCAGCUUUUUUAUUUUCCCAUCAACUGAAAUCGUUUUUAUUUGUAAAGUCCAUCCGGAAUUAAAAUCUAUUGCCAAAUUGUUUCAAAACCUUGAUCAGCCUUGCUGCCUUUUGGUCCAAUUUGUGGUAGGAACAACUUGCAUAAAAUCUUAAUUUUGUUGUAUUUUUUUUAUUUAUUUUUCUUGUAACUAAUUAUAUUGUAACUAUUUUACUGCCACAAAUAAAUUAUAUUAUUAUUAUUUUUCAGUAAAAUAAAGUGGCGUAAAUACGAUAACGAAACACAAAAAAAAUAAUUUUGGGAAAUUAAAUCUACGUGACAACAAAAAAAUCACGUUUAAAUCUUAAUACCCAUACUACUUUUAUUUAAACAAGGAUUUCCUUGCAGACCAGUGUAAUCGUCCGUUCUUUUUUUCUACUUUUUUUUUAACAUUUCCUACUAACUUUUGCCAUUUUGUUAAUUCUGUCUUUUUAACAUAAGAGUGCGAACGUUCAAAUGUCUCAAAAAUCAGUGACAUUUUGACGUUCCCUUCAAAAUUUUCAGUGCCUUUCAUCGUUAUCUCACUAUGCUUGGGGUAAAAUUAUCGAACAGAACCCUUAAAAAUAAAUUCACCAUCUUCCCUACUAAUUUACCGUUCCCGUCCAUGGUUGAGCUUCGUUUAAAACAGGCAUGGUGGGUGGCGCGACAAAGACAAUGAACAUACAAAUCUGUAGUACACCUCGAUCUUGUAAUAUUUUUGUCUGUAAUUAAGUUACAACAAUAAACGCAUGCAAGUUUUG